GGUUGUCCGGAAGAAGACGUGGGGGGCAACUCACAGGUCCCUGGUGGCCUUGAACCCCCGGGAAGGUCUGAGACAAGGUCCCACUCCCACUGGGUGGAGUGGUGGGUCCGAGAAGGACCUCGUCCGUGAGAACGAGAGGCUGUAACAGAAACACACCCUGCGGGGUUUGAACGACAGCCUCGACCGGCGAAUGCCUGAGUGCGAUCGUCCAAUUAACACAAUUCAGACUAGUCUUCGGAAAACC
rfam:Haemonchus contortus, ISE/inbred ISE, WGS project CAVP01000000 data, contig: Hcontortus_43687